rnacentral:lncRNA from 1 species
UUUUUUUUUUUUUUUUUCCAUGCCGGUGACAUGUGGAAGUUCCCAAGCCAGGGAUCAAACCCAUGCCACAGCAGCGACAACACCAGAUCCCUAAACCGAUGAGUCACCAAGGAACUCCUCUGCUCUCAUUUUAAAAAGACUUAAAGAUACAAAUGAACUUAUUUACAAAACAGAAAUAGACUCACAGAUGUAGAAAACAAACUUAUGGUUAGCAAAGAAGAAAGGAUGAAGGAGAGAUAAAUUAAGAGUUAGGAAUUAACGCAUACAUACUACUAUAUAUAAAAUAGACAACCAACAAACACAUGGAAUUAUAAUCAAAGUUUUGUAAUAACCUAUAAGGGAAAAGAAUCUGAAAAAGAAUAUAUAUGUGUGUGUGUGUGUGUAUAUAUAUAUAACAUAUAUAUGUAUAGCUGAAUCAUUGUGCUGUAUACCUGAAACUAACACAGCAUUGUAAAUCAACUAUACUUCAAUACAAAUUUUUUUUUAAAUGCUUUAUUGCUAAAAAAUGCCAAGCAUCAUCUAACAACACAGGGUUGCCACAAACCUUCAUUUUGUAAAAAACACAGCAUCUGUGAAGCACAAUAAAGGAAAGCACAAUAAAACAUGGUAUUCCUAUAACAAAAAAUGAUACAAGACUACUUGUUUGAUUAGAGUCCCCUGGCCCUUUCUCAUUUGUCUUCUGGGUCACCUAUGCCUUGUGCUUGAAGGGAGAAGAGACAUAGUGGUGGACACAAAGACAAUUGCCUUCUAGGCUAUCUUGAUCUUGGGAGGUGGGUGCAGGCUGGGACCGAAGCCCAUUCUCUGUGGAAGGAACACUGCAAAAGCCACACUGAUGUGGUGCUAUGGCUGUGGUUAUAGAAUGCAAAGUCUGUAGCAAUCCGUGUCACAUCUACUACGUGGCAGCCACUGUACUAGAUCCAGUGUGCAGUGAUACAGAAAAUGUGGUGUUUGGUAAGAGUGUUGAAACAGGCCAGCAUUUAGAGAGGGCACUGAGGUUGUUAGGGCAUUGCAGUGGUUAAAGCAGGGAGUAUAUUGGAGCUGUAAGUAGUAGACUUUGGCUGGAAUAUAAAGAGUCAAUGAGGAUGAGGCCCUCUUGGUGAGCACCUUAAAUGACGGAGUGAGUCAUAAAAGAUUUGCAGGUGUGGUGGUUCUAUAAUUGGAGAUGCAUUUUAGGAAGAUUAAUAUAAUAUGUAUGUGUAAAGUGGUUAAUGAUGAGAGAGACCAAUUAAGUGGUUGAAACAUUAAUAACUAAUAGACUCUAACAGGUAAGGGAGGCAAAGAGAAAAGAAAGAGGAGGAGGUUAGACAUAGAGAACUGACUUAUGGUUGCCAGGAGUGUGAUGAACUGGGAGUUUGGGGUAGUAGGAGCUCCCAAAUUAUUUUAUUUAGAAUGAAUAAGAAAUGAGGUUCUACUGUAUAGCACAGGGAACUAUAUCCAGUCUCUUGAGAUAGACUAUGAUAGAAGAUAAUAUAAGAAAGGGGAUAUAUAUAUAUGUGUGUGUGUGUGUGUGUGUGUGUGUGUGUGUGUGUGACUUUUCUGUACAGCAUAAAUUGACACAACAUUGUAAAUUUUUCUACUUUAAUUUUUUAAUGUAAAAAAAUAAGUUCAAAAAAAGAAUGAGGUGGAAGGAAGUUGUUGCUAAGAAUAACAUGAGUGAUUUAAUAACUGUAUGAGAAUGAAGGGAAAAGGAUAAGAGAAAAUGAGCAUUCAAGAUCCCGCCAAGGCUUUAAAUCUGAGUUACCGGAGCAGUGAAAUAGAGACUUGAGAGGUGGGACUAGGAGUGAGAAAAGAGAUAGAUGGAAAGAGAAGGAAUAUACUAUAGACAGUUUACAUUUUGAUUAUGCCUAUAGGACACACUAAUAAUAUACAUUUCAUUUCAGAAAAAAAGUUUAGAUUUUACUGAAGUCCUAAAGAUAUGGAGAAAUGUUUACAGUCCAAUAUUGAUAUUUUGGAUUUUCCUUACUGUCCUCUAAAAUUGUAUCUAACCCUUACUGUAACUGUGGAGCAAAUGUACUGCAGUUUCUUGUCUACUUAUGUCUACUCAGCAGUGUUCUCUAUGCUCCUCAAAUCCUGAUUAUAUUCCAAGUACCAAUGGGUUGGUGUUGGGGGUGGCGGGAAAUACAUUUAUCAUCUUUUCACAAGUUUUUUUACCAAUAUAAAAGGGAUUGUAAAGUAUUUAGCUGAUGCAGUAAUGUGGUUGAGCAAGAUGCUUGGCCUAAUGCCUGGUACAUAGCUAGCAAUUGUCACUAUUGCUAUUUUUCAUGAAUAAAGGAGUGAAUUUUUAUGCCUUUAGGCUUGCUUAUAAAGAUUUUCUUUAUCCCCUUCAGGCUCCUUCUCUGGCCAAAUUAUCUGUAUAGUUUUAUUGUUUCCCAAAACUUUCUGUUCCUACCUAAGUUAUAAAAAUGAUUUUUUUCAGCUUUCUACUUUGCAAGGCAGACAAAGAAAGAAUUGACACAAUUUGCAGAAAGAGGAGAGGCACUAACUACCUGGGAAAUGGAAAGUUUGAAUCUGAACUGUUUAAAUGGUGGUUUCAUUAUCCCAUAGCUAACUGAAUAAGGAAAUGAAGAUUAAAGUUAAAUUGUAAUUACUUUAGCUCAAGAGCUGUAGUUGGCACAAUGGUUCAGCAUCACCUGUAUUUAGGAGUAUUUCUGGAAAUUAUCCUGAUAAACAAUUCAUUGUGAGGCCCUUAUAAUCACUAUGUUUCUCAAACUGAGAUUAUGUGCAUUGGAUACUCAACACCAUAGAGUAAUCAUGAAACAUAUUCCAAAGGCACUGAUUUUACUUCACGAUAUACUAUUUUCCCAUUAAUGUCAAUUUAGAUAUAUUAUUUAGUCAUUCAACAAAUAUUUAUUGCAUUUAGGCAGCAUGUCAGGUGCUGGAAAAUAUGGAUUUAGAACAUGAAUAUGGCUGAUGGUAGUGGUGGUGGUGGUGGUGGUGGGGUUACAGGGUAAAAUGCAAAAUUUCCAUGUAUUUUUAAGUUGAAACAUAAAACAACAAGAAAUUUUUACCUUGAAGUGGACUUUUGACCUUGAGGUCAGCUGCCAAAACUGAGAGGUUGGCAGUGUUAGGAAACAGAUACUGUUUUCAUUGAAACUAGUGAUUUUUUUCCUGACCCAAAGAAUCCACUUUUCUUUUGGCUUCUGAUCCUUGGCAGCACAAGCAUGACUUUCUCUGUCAUAUUUCAAGUGGAAAUUUGGAAGGGGCUGGAGAAAUAUCUUUUCACCCUCCUAUACUCUGAUAAGAGUGCAUCGUUAGAUACACAAGGAAUAAUGAUAAUUUUAAAACACCCAGUGUUUAAUUUUGUAAACACCAUGUAACAUAUGAUGUAGACAAGCGCACACACACACACACACACACACACAAUACACAUCUAAAGUUUUAUAUAUACCUAGAUGAAUCUGGAAAAAUAUUAUAAUUAGACAUUGAAAUACAUUCUCUAAGAUUUGGGCAGAUCUGACAAACUGUAUAAUAUCAAUUAGAAAUUGCUUCUAGAAUGUUACCUACUAAAUUCUUAAAAAAUUUAAAUGUAAUAAGAGAAAGCAAGUUUUAAUAAAAUAAGCAAUUAUAGAAUUCAAAAGGGAAAGAAACUACAUGACUUUUAACUAAUGCUUAUUAAUUUAGUAUAAGAUCUCUGGAUGUCUGUUUAAAGGAUUAUAUGGGAAAGCUUAUAAUUAACAUAUCAAGUAUUAAUAGUUUUCUAAGUAUGUCAAGCAGUUUACUUUUUUGAGUCAUAUAAUUAUUACCUUUGAAAUGCUUACAAUAUUAAGUUGAUGGGUAAUUGUCAGAAAUACUCGAUGUAAAUAAUUUAAUCAGAUUUAUUAUAAUACCCAAAUUAGCAAGAUAUAAACUCAUUUAAUUUUACUAUACAUUAAUAGUAAAAAGUUUAACUAUUUUCAGUUUGAAUAAGUAAAAAUGUAUAGCUUCCUUAAGACCUUCAUUUAACUAAUGACAAAAGUCUACGUCUUCACUAAUAAUUGCUGAAGUAGACUUGCCAAAAAUCAUGACUUCAUUAAAUCUGAAAAAUGUUGGAGCCUUUCCAGUACACUUUUAGUUUACAAAUAAAGAUUUGAGGUCCGUAUCCCAUUCUCUAUCUAUAUUAUUUUUAAUUUGUACAUGAUAUUAUUUUAUAUGUUUUUCUUUUUUCUGUUUCACCAAGCCAAUGUUGAUGUCCACCAAGAAAUAAAUAGCAUAUCUAGGUUUGCCCAGCCCAAUUCAAUGCUCAUGAAGGUAACAUCAUGGAGAUUUUCUACCAAACCAAUGAAAAGGCAGCGUUGCAGAUAUGCUCCAAAUAUGAAUCCUAGUGGGCAAGUGGACGCUACUAUUUCCUGAUGCCUCUGGCUGUUCAUAUCCACACACCUGAACUUGGGUGGUGACUAUGGACCACCUGGAAUGAGGAACCCUUCAGUUUUCAGGUGCCUUAGACUCCAAGGCUUUUGUGUCAUUAGGCUCUAGGAGGGCUACUUCAAGCCAUGCAAUGUAGUUCCUUGUUGUAUCACAGGAGCCUACUUCUACAUUCUAUUCCUUUCUGCCUCUCUUGGCUUGUAGUAACACCACAGAGAAAUGAAAGGCAGACAAUUAUCUGGAAAACUCAGAUUCCAUUUAACACAUUUUUCUUGAUUUUUCUAUUGUUUGCCAGAUAAUGUAAUGGAGAGAGAAGCUACAGAGUUGAAGAAGACACAGUCCUAGCUUUGAAAUUUUUGAGUUCAAAACUUCGUGGGAAGAGAGACACAUAAAUAAGACUAUACAGGACUAGUUCAAUAAAAGAUGUAAACAUCAGCAAUCAUGGAACAUAAAUCAUGGAGCAUUAUAAUAAAUAUAAUUAACAAGCCAUGUUUAAUACCUAGAAGAGGAAAAGAAGAGUGUUUCAGAUAAGUAGAGCUAAAUCAUGUGCAAAGACUUAGAAGGCAUAAAAAAUAAGAUUUCUUUAUGGAUAGUGGGUGUGCCCUAUGCCUAGAGC